GGAGGAAAUCCCCAGAAAACUGGAGGACACGCUGAAAAAGUCUAUUUGGCUCUCACUCAUGACCAACCAAUCAUGCCCAGAUGUUGCUGCAGAGCUUGAGGAGGUACAGCAAAACUACAAUUUGCUGAAGAAUGGUUUGAAUGAAGAAAGAGCCUAAAAUGGCUGCCCCGAAUCCAAGACACAAAGAUCCAUCACUGUGACACAAAAGUUCAAGAUGGAAAAACUUUACAGGCAAAUGUGAAAAACAGUGAAUGAUGCGAAUUACUUUGACACUGCUCUGUUUUUUGUUUGUUUUUUUCCCCCACCUUUUUUAAUUCACGGUUUAAGAAAUAUUUUAACACAUACUUUGACUUCAC